UACGUAGGGGGCAAGCGUUGUCCGGAAUCAUUGGGCGUAAAGAGCGUGUAGGCGGCUCGAUAAGUCCGCUGUGAAAGUCCAGGGCUCAACCCUGGAAGGCCGGUGGAAACUGUCGGGCUAGAGUCCGGAAGAGGCGAGUGGAAUUCCCGGUGUAGCGGUGAAAUGCGCAGAUAUCGGGAGGAACACCAAUGGCGAAGGCAGCUCGCUGGGACGGUACUGACGCUGAGGCACGAAAGCGUGGGGAUCAAACAGGAGU
rnacentral:rRNA from 1 species